GUCAUGGCUCAGGAUGAACGCUGGCGGCGUGCUUAACACAUGCAAGUCGAACGGAACUACUUUAAUGAGAUUCUUCGGAAAGGAUUUGAUUUAGUUUAGUGGCGGACGGGUGAGUAACGCGUGGGUAACCUGCCUCAUACAGGGGGAUAACAGUUGGAAACGGCUGUUAAUACCGUAUAAGCGCACAGUACCGCAUGGUACAGUGUGAAAAACUCUGGUGGUAUGAGAUGGACCCGCGUCUGAUUAG
rnacentral:rRNA from 1 species